rnacentral:rRNA from 1 species
AAAUUGAAGAGUUUGAUCAUGGCUCAGAUUGAACGCUGGCGGCAGGCCUAACACAUGCAAGUCGAACGGUAACAGGAAGCAGCUUGCUGCUUUGCUGACGAGUGGCGGACGGGUGAGUAAUGUCUGGGAAACUGCCUGAUGGAGGGGGGUAACUACUGGAAACGGUGGCUAAUACCGCAUAAUGUCGCAAGACCAAAGAGGGGGACCUUCGGGCCUCUUGCCAUCAGAUGUGCCCAGAUGGGAUUAGCUUGUUGGUGAGGUAACGGCUCACCAAGGCGACGAUCCCUAGCUGGUCUGAGAGGAUGACCAGCCACACUGGAACUGAGACACGGUCCAGACUCCUACGGGAGGCAGCAGUGGGGAAUAUUGCACAAUGGGCGCAAGCCUGAUGCAGCCAUGCCGCGUGUAUGAAGAAGGCCUUCGGGUUGUAAAGUACUUUCAGCGGGGAGGAAGGUGUUG